rnacentral:snRNA from 1 species
GCGCUUAUUUCAGCAGCACAUAUACUAAAAAUUAGAAUGAUACAGAGAAGAUUAGCAUGGUCCCUGCACAGGGAUGACAUGCACAUUUUUGAAAAAAUUAGAAGAGAA